rnacentral:tRNA from 2 species
CGAGGUGUAGCUCAUCUGGUAGAGCGCCUGGUUUGGGACCAGGAGGCACGGAGUUCGAGUCUCCGCACUUCGACCA